GAUGAACGCUGGCGGCGUGCUUAACACAUGCAAGUCGAACGAGAAGUGGAGACGGAAACCUUCGGGCGGAAGACUUUAUUUCGAGUGGCGGCAGGGUGAGUAACGCGUGGGUAACCUGCCUCAUACAGGGGGAUAACAGUCGGAAACGACUGUUAAUACCGCAUAAGACCACAGCACCGCAUGGUGCGGGGGUAAAAACUCCGGUGGUAUGAGAUGGACCCGCGUUCGAUUAGCCAGUUGGCGGGGUAACGGCCCACCAAAGCGACGAUCGAUAGCCGAUCAGAGAGGAUGACCGGCCACAAUGAGACUAGGAAACGGCCCAGACUCCUACGGGAGGCAGCAGAGGGUAAUAGUGCACAAUGGCGGAAGCGCUGAUGCAGCGACGCCGCGUGAGUGAAGAAAUAAUUCAGUAUGUAAAGCGCUAGCAGCAGGGAAGGAAAUGACGGUACCUGAGUAAGAAGCCCCGGCUAACUACGUG
rnacentral:rRNA from 1 species